AAGCUACUCCUAUGACUCUCUUCAAGAAUCAUCUUCUUAAUCUCUUCAUUGUCUGGAAUACAAAUUCUUCCUCGAAAUCUCAACACACCUUGAUCAUCGAUUUUAAAAUCACUGUCUUCAGUCUGAUCUCUAGAAACUAACAAGUCCACAAACUUUACAUCAACUUUCUGUGCUUCCUUGAUACUUUUCAGAAAUUCACUAUCAAUCUUCAGCAUUCCCAGUUUCACACUCU
rnacentral:lncRNA from 1 species